rnacentral:misc_RNA from 1 species
UCUCCGUUGGUGAACCAGCGGAGGGAUCAUUACAGAGUUGCAAAACUCCCAAACCAUUGUGAACGUUACCUAUCCCGUUGCUUCGGCGGGCGGCCCGGGCCCCGCGCCCGGCGCCCCCCGGCCCCCCGUGGGCGCCCGCCGGAGGUAAACCAGACCCUUGAAUUGCAUGGCCUCUCUGAGUCUUCUGUACUGAAUAAGUCAAAACUUUCAACAACGGAUCUCUUGGUUCUG